rnacentral:tRNA from 1 species
UCUAAUAUGGCAGAUUAGUGUAUUGGAUUUAAACCCCAAAAAUAAAGUUUAAACUUUUUUAGAA